GUCUUCAAUUUAGGGUGCAUCUUUCCUAUAAUUGAUUGAUAAACCAUUCUAUGGGUUUUCAACAAUCAGGUUGUCAAUUAAGCACCUUUCUUGUUUGCUUACUGAUUGCUAUGAUCAGUGAUCAGUGUGCAGUUUAAACACAAUAGCUGGGAAAAAAAUAAAUAAGUAACAUAUGUUUUUAGAAUGCCACUAUAUUACUGGCAAUCUUAAAUUGCCUUACCCUUUGAGUAUGCAUUUCCUAUAUGAAAACACUUAUACGGUAUUUUGUAUAUUUAUUUUUAUUUUUUCCAUUUGUGGGCUAUGCCCUCUUCUCUACCUCAUCAUUAGAAUUUAUAUUAAAAGGAUGACGGAUAUGAGCCAUCAGUGGGCUUGGAGAUUAUUAUGGCCAUCUCCCGAAUAAGAAAAUCAAGCAUGGAUUGAUGUAAUAUAAAGAUGGAAUAUUUAUUGUAUAAAUCAGUACACAAUAAAGAUUUCUCAGAUGCAGUCGUUAGAAGAUGCUGUUGUCCAUGAAGAAGAGAACGUAGAGGGCUGCCAUCGGGACCACGAUGUUAUGUGGGGGGCCCAAGGAUGUUAAAUAGGCCCCCUUUGCCCCAAACCCUCCCCCGACGGCUGCCUUCUUCUGUUCUCUUAGCGCUUCAUUCCUAAGGAGAGAUUGUUCAGCGUUAUUCAUGGAGUAGGUGAGUAUAUAACAAUUCUGUCAUUUGUUCGUUUCUACUGUUUGCAUUAAUAGUUUUUGUCAUUGCGUGUUUUAUAUCACGCUUUCUUUGCUGCUGAUGUAAAGGACAAUUACAACUAUCUAAUAAUAACGUGUUCUCCCAUCUCAGCUUGUUUGUCUUUCCCGUAGAUUUAGCCCAGUUUAGUGACCUCUGCCCUAAUACAAGUCUUUAUUAUUGGUGGCUUUAGUAUCGAAUGAUUUUGUUUGUAGCAAAGCAAGAGAAUAUUGUAUAACCGGGAGCAGUAGAUGGUUAUAGUCAAUGUAUCGUGUGACAUAUAAUGAGGAUGAGCAGUUCCCCUUACCUCUGUGCAGCUGUUGCGCAAUAUUCUUCUGCACCCCCCUUUCACCCCUGAUCUCUCCGAUGAAAGGGUGUGACAGAAGUUGCCUUGCAGACGGUCUUCUAGAUGGAUCUUUCUGCAGGCACUCUGAAAUAAAGAAAUGGAACUCGUCGCUCCUGGAACAAAGAAAAGGUGGCAAAAUAUUAUAUAUUAUAAUUGUUCAUGUUACAUAAUAGCUCAUUUCCCAGAGUUCACACGUUUAACAGUCUGUUAAUAGAAUCAGCACAGCCAAGUGCCCUAUAUACCCCAUUAUCCUCCCUUUAAAGUGCCUCGCUGCCUUGUAAAUCAUUGUGGUGGCGUCUCCCUGAUCCUGCCACUCUGUACCCAAUCACAACACAGGCAGAUAGGGGCUGUUUAAGACAGCAAUAGAGGGUGAGCCCAUUCCCUUCUAAAGGUUCAACUGCUCUGCCUGAAAUGGGGUUCUGUUGUGCUUACUUACGAACCCUGAAUUAUUAGGGUACAUUUACCUGUGACCAAAAUACUGUCUCUCUGGUUUUGCCAAUAUCUUAGCCUGGCUUGUAUUGGCUGCCAGAUACCAGCCGCAAGAUCUCAAGCUCAGCACGAGAGUCUGCAUUUGUGCAUUGAAGAGCGACACAUAUUACACAUCACCUUCACCCUUAUUUCAGCCCGGACUGGGACACUUAAUAGGCCCUGGCAUUUCAAGUACAUAGAGACCCAAACAGCCCAAUAAAUAGUGACUGGCUAUGGCAUCUUACAGCAUUUAUCUGCCCUCAUUUACCCAUUUAUCCCUUUUCCCAUCCUUACUUUACCUCAUAUCCCAAUGUCCCCCUCACCAUAACUUCUACCUUGCCUAUUUCCCUACCUUUCCUACCUUUCCUGACUCUCUUUCUCAUUCACACACCUUAUUAUACCCUUUCCAUGUUCCCGCUCUCCCCUAACUGCCUAUUCCAUUUCCGCACCCUCUCCACCUCUUUUCUGUUUCCGUUUCCCUACCACCCCCUCACUGCCUUUUCCUAUUCUAGUGAAAGUGACUCACCAUUUGCCCCAUGGUGUUAAUGCUGGGAUGGGACCGUGUGUUAUCUUCUCAAGCAGCUUCUGUGGUGGAAGUUUGCUGAAUGCUAGGAUGUAAAGAUACAACACAAAAAUAUGAUGACUGAUGAAUACAACAUUUGGGGCGAUUCACUUAAAUUCAAAUUUUUAAGCUUUUUCGAAUCCUGUAAAUCUUGUAACUCAAUUUUGUAUGGGUUUUUUUUCUCAACUGACAUACAAAAAAUGAAUUGGGAAUCAGGAAAUCAAUUAUUACAAUUGUUUUAAAAACUUGUAUCUUAAAAUAGCUUAAAAAUGGAAAAUACACCUUUUAUUGGCCUAUACAGGAGCUUGCCUGGUUUUAUCUGCCAGUUCUUUACAUUUGUGUUUUCAAAUUUUAUUAAAUGGGUACAUUUUCAAGUUUGAAAAGUCAAAUUCUGAAAAAAUUUAAAUUCCAGUUCUUUGCCUCAAAAAAUGGUGUAUUAUGAUAACAAAGCAAAUUCAAAUUUUAGUAAAUUGGCCCCUUUGUUUUUAAUAAUUAAUAAUAAUCUAUGUUACGGUGUGACACAUAAAUGCCCCCUGACCAUGCUACUAACAGUUCUACAUGCAGUAUAGUACAUACGCGCACACACUAGGGUUUACUUACAGAGAUGUCCCUCCGCCAUUUCAAUGGCUGCAAUGCCGAGUGACCAGAUGUCAGCCUGGAUAUGAAAAUAUGGGGAAAGACAGUUAUUGGAAAAGAAUAUACACAGAGUACAUGGACAUAAUUCCAGUUGCAGAUGAUUCAGAUACUUCUGCUCCCUAUCCACCCACACCCUGAUAGUGAUUCUAUUUAGGAUGCACAAUAAGAAAUCCAUUAGAAGCCUAUAAUCAAGUAGUGAAGUGCUGUGUCUUUUAUGUCUAGAAAAUGACCCCAAACUGAGAUUCUUGUGUGUUACAUGGAGUGUAACAUGCCCAUAAAGCAUAAGCAGUCAUAUGAAGUUGGUUUCUAAUAUUCUUGUGUCCUGCACCUAAAAUGCAUUUCACUCUCUCAUUUCAGAUUCUCUUAUCACAGAAACCACUUUACAGCUCUACAUUGUCUGUUACGAGAGGGGUGGAAAAGGCCCUGAGAAAUCAAGAAAGCAAAAGAGUAUUUAAAGUGAAGCCUGCCUUGAUCUUGGCUUUAGUGUGCAUGUUCUAGAAGGGCAAUGGGAGAUGUGGAAGACCUGAGCGGAUGGCAAUGGAGGCAAAAAGUGGUGCUCAACCACCCCACAGAGCCCUUGUGCAUUUGACCUUCAGGUAAGAGUGGAAUGGGGCCUACAUAAGAGUUAGCAUGAUGCGGUUGGAUAGGGGGCCUGCUCGGAGCCCAAAUAGGUAUUGAGAGAAAAAAUAUGAAAUUAAGGUCAAACCUCCUUGAGGUCUUUCACACCCUCUUCGCUCAGUACCGAGCUCUCUUCCUGGCUGGUGUUGGUGCCAGUUUCUGUUGGUGACGCCUGGUAAAUAUAAAUACAAUUUCUCAACCGUCUCAUUGAGAGCUUAAAAGUGUCAAUAAAACAUGUUAUAUUAGAACUAUUCGGCUUCCUAGAGAAACGGUCACAAUGGAUUUUAUGUAGCCGAAUAUUUUAAUAAUUGUGUUUCUCUUUUACAUAAUACAAAGGUUUGCUGGUUACCUCACAGAUCUCAGGUUGAGGAUCGUCACUUUCCUCCAGGGUUUCCUGGUUAAGAGAGAAAAUGUUAUAAGAUCGCUCAGUUCAGUAAAUAAUAUGAUAAAAUGAUUGUUAUGGUUAUUUUCUGCUUACCUGAUAAUGGCAGGGGCUGGUGUCGGCGCUCGCCUGCACUAUCCGUUCUUCCUCCUGGUUAAGUCAGAAAAAAAGAUUUUAAAAAUAAUUUCAUGGCUGCAGUAAAAACU